UACGUAGGUGGCAAGCGUUGUCCGGAUUUACUGGGCGUAAAGCGCGCGCAGGCGGUUCGUUCAAGUCGAGUGUGAAAGCCCCCGGCUCAACUGGGGAGGGUCACUCGAUACUGAUCGACUUGAAGGCAGAAGAGGGAAGCGGAAUUCCCGGUGUAGUGGUGAAAUGCGUAGAUAUCGGGAGGAACACCGAGUGGCGAAGGCGGA
rnacentral:rRNA from 1 species